rnacentral:rRNA from 1 species
GACGAACGCUGGCGGCGUGCUUAACACAUGCAAGUCGAACGGAAAGGCCCUGCUUUUGUGGGGUGCUCGAGUGGCGAACGGGUGAGUAACACGUGAGUAACCUGCCCUUGACUUUGGGAUAACUUCAGGAAACUGGGGCUAAUACCGGAUAGGAGCUCCGGCUGCAUGGUGGGGGUUGGAAAGUUUCGGCGGUUGGGGAUGGACUCGCGGCUUAUCAGCUUGUUGGUGGGGUAGUGGCUUACCAAGGCUUUGACGGGUAGCCGGCCUGAGAGGGUGACCGGCCACAUUGGGACUGAGAUACGGCCCAGACUCCUACGGGAGGCAGCAGUGGGGAAUAUUGCACAAUGGGCGGAAGCCUGAUGCAGCAACGCCGCGUGCGGGAUGACGGCCUUCGGGUUGUAACCCGAUUUCGCCUGUGACGAAGCGUGAGUGACGGUAAUGGGUAAAGAAGCACCGGCUAACUACGUG